rfam:Sarcophilus harrisii ctg7180001720338, whole genome shotgun sequence.
CUGGGUGCCGGGCCAUAAUUUAUGAAACUGAGCUCCAGCCUCAGCCAAUCAUUUAGCUUCCCAUAACAAGUCUAACUGGCUCAGAAGAGCUAGCUGUGCCGCAAUAAAGCCACAUGGAGGAGAUAUCCCACCCGAUAAUCUGUUUAUCUGCGCUCGAUUUCAAUCGGGGAAGCCAAAAAGAAAUCCUAACUUCAUUGUCUUCAAGGAAGGGGGCAGCUGACCUACGUCAAUAAAAGUCGAGCAC